rnacentral:rRNA from 1 species
CCUACGGGUGGCUGCAGUGAGGAAUAUUGGUCAAUGGGCGCGAGCCUGAACCAGCCAAGUCGCGUGAGGGAGGACGGCCCUACGGGUUGUAAACCUCUUUUGCCGGGGAGCAACGGGCGUCACGUGUGGCACCACUGAGAGUACCCGGAGAAAAAGCAUCGGCUACCUCCGUGCCAGCAGCCGCGGUAAUACGGAGGAGCCGAGCGUUAUCCGGAUUUAUUGGGUUUAAAGGGAGCGUAGGUGGAUUGUUAAGUCAGUUGUGAAAGUUUGCGGCUCAACCGUAAAAUUGCAGUUGAUACUGGCAGUCUUGAGUACAGUAGAGGUGGGCGGAAUUCGUGGUGUAGCGGUGAAAUGCUUAGAUAUCACGAAGAACUCCGAUUGCGAAGGCAGUUUACUGAACUGCAACUGACACUGAGGCUCGAAAGUGUGGGUAUCAAACAGGAUUAGAUACCCGAGUAGUC